UGGGGGAUAUUGGUCAAUGGGGGAAACCCUGAACCAGCGACGCCGCGUGAGGGAAGAAGGUCUUCGGAUUGUAAACCUCUGUCUUUGGUGACGAUAAUGACGGUAGCCAAGGAGGAAGCCACGGCUAACUACGUGCCAGCAGCCGCGGUAAUACGUAGGUGGCAAGCGUUGUCCGGAAUUACUAGGUGUAAAGGGAGCGUAGGCGGGGAUGCAAGUUGAAUGUGAAACUUAUCGGCUCAACCGGUAAUUGCGUUCAAAACUGCAUUUCUUGAGUGGAGUAGAGGCAGGCGGAAUUCCCAGUGGAGCGGUGAAAUGCGUAGAUAUUGGGAGGAACACCAGUGGCGAAGGCGGCCUGCUGGGCUCUAACUGACGCUGAGGUUCGAAAGUGUGGGUAGCAAACA
rnacentral:rRNA from 1 species